AACGAACGCUGGCGGCAUGCCUAACACAUGCAAGUCGAACGAGACCUUCUGGUCUAGUGGCGCACUUGUGCGUAACGCGUGGGAACCUGCCCUUAGGUUCGGAAUAACUCCCCGAAAGGGGUGCUAAUACCGGAUAAUUUCUUCGGACCAAAGAUUUAUCGCCUUUGGAUGGGCCCGCGUUGGAUUAGCUAGUUGGUAGGGUAAAAGCCUACCAAGGCGACGAUCCAUAGCUGGUCUGAGAGGAUGAUCAGCCACACUGGGACUGAGACACGGCCCAGACUCCUACGGGAGGCAGCAGUGGGGAAUAUUGGACAAUGGGCGAAAGCCUGAUCCAGCAAUGCCGCGUGAGUGAUGAAGGCCUUAGGGUUGUAAAGCUCUUUUAACCGGGAUGAUAAUGACAGUACCGGGAGAAUAAGCUCCGGCUAACUCCGUG
rnacentral:rRNA from 1 species